UGGGGAAUAUUGGACAAUGGGCGAAAGCCUGAUCCAGCCAUGCCGCGUGAGUGAUGAAGGCCCUAGGGUUGUAAAGCUCUUUUGUGCGGGAAGAUAAUGACGGUACCGCAAGAAUAAGCCCCGGCUAACUUCGUGCCAGCAGCCGCGGUAAUACGAAGGGGGCUAGCGUUGCUCGGAAUCACUGGGCGUAAAGGGUGCGUAGGCGGGUUUCUAAGUCAGAGGUGAAAGCCUGGAGCUCAACUCCAGAACUGCCUUUGAUACUGGAAGUCUUGAGUUCGGGAGAGGUGAGUGGAACUGCGAGUGUAGAGGUGAAAUUCGUAGAUAUUCGCAAGAACACCAGUGGCGAAGGCGGCUCACUGGCCCGAUACUGACGCUGAGGCACGAAAGCGUGGGUAGCAAACA
rnacentral:rRNA from 1 species